AAGACCUUGCGCUUUGGGAGCGGCCGAUGUCUGAUUAGCUAGUUGGUGGGGUAAAGGCCUACCAAGGCGACGAUCAGUAGUUGGUCUGAGAGGACGACCAGCCACACUGGGACUGAGACACGGCCCAGACUCCUACGGGAGGCAGCAGUGGGGAAUUUUGGACAAUGGGCGAAAGCCUGAUCCAGCAAUGCCGCGUGAGUGAAGAAGGCCUUCGGGUUGUAAAGCUCUUUCAGUCGAGAAGAAAAAGUUGUGACUAAUAAUCACAAUUUAUGACGGUACCGACAGAAGAAGCACCGGCUAACUACGUGCCAGCAGCCGCGGUAAUACGUAGGGUGCAAGCGUUAAUCGGAAUUACUGGGCGUAAAGGGUGCGCAGGCGGCUCUGUAAGUCAGAUGUGAAAUCCCCGGGCUUAACCUGGGAAUU
rnacentral:rRNA from 1 species